UGGAUUAGGAAGUAUGCAGAUACUAAGAUAGGAAGGGUUGCGGGUAAUGAAGUAGAUUUUCAAAGUCUACAGAGAGAUUUAUGCCAGUUGGAAGAGUGGGCUGAAAGAUGGCAGAUGGAGUUUAAUGCUGAUA